AGAGUUUGAUCCUGGCUCAGAUUGAACGCUGGCGGAAUGCUUUACACAUGCAAGUCGAACGGCAGCACGGGAGCUUGCUCCUGGUGGCGAGUGGCGAACGGGUGAGUAAUGCGUCGGAACGUACCGAGUAAUGGGGGGUAACGCAGCGAAAGCUGUGCUAAUACCGCAUACGCCCUGAGGGGGAAAGUGGGGGAUCGCAAGACCUCACGUUAUUCGAGCGGCCGACGUCUGAUUAGCUAGUUGGUGGGGUAAUGGCCUACCAAGGCGACGAUCAGUAGCGGGUCUGAGAGGAUGAUCCGCCACACUGGAACUGAGACACGGUCCAGACUCCUACGGGAGGCAGCAGUGGGGAAUUUUGGACAAUGGGGGCAACCCUGAUCCAGCCAUUCCGCGUGAGUGAAGAAGGCCUU
rnacentral:rRNA from 1 species